rnacentral:rRNA from 1 species
UACAGAGGGUGCGAGCGUUGUCCGGAAUCACUGGGCGUAAGGGGCGCGUAGGCGGCGCGGUAAGCGUGCGGUGAAAGCCCGGGGCUCAACCCCGGGUCGGCCGUGCGGACUGCCGGGCUGGAGCACUGUAGAGGCAGGUGGAAUUCCGGGUGUAGCGGUGGAAUGCGUAGAGAUCCGGAAGAACACCGGUGGCGAAGGCGGCCUGCUGGGCAGUAGCUGACGCUGAAGCGCGACAGCGUGGGGAGCAAACAGG